AGAUUGGUGUUCCCUCGGGAGUUAAAAAACUUUUUGAGAGAAAUGAUAGGGGAGCCAUUGUGAAAGAAUAUCACACAGAAAGCGAACUCCUAAACGGCCUGAUGAAUGAUAACGUAGCUAUGAUAAUGCUAUUCGACUGUGACACCGAGGAAAUGGAAAAAAAGCUUCCUCGCUUGACGAUAGUUGACGUAUUUGAAGGAUAUUUGAACGUCACGGUGAAUUUUACGGUGCAAGAAGGAUACAAAGACCUAGAACACUGUUUUCAGACAACUAAACGUGAAACCAGGAAAUCUUACGAGCAUGAGGAGAUGGGAGAUUAUGACCGGGACGAUGAGCGCGAGGAUAUGCAGAAUUCCUGUUUUGAAAAGUACAGCCAUGGAAAAAACCGACAUAAUAUGAAGCAAGGGUCAUCUGAGCGCGGAGUUUAACCCAACCUCUUCAUUCUACUGGCUUCUGCUGGCAUUCUCGUCAUUUUCUUGUUGAUCGGUUACCUUUGGAAUGUUUACAUGAAGAAGACACGGAAAGCAGAUGAUGUUGAUAUCGAAAAAGGAGUGUCUGACACCGAACUGAGAGCGAGUAUUAGUAGUAAAGUGCGCGUGAGGGAACUUUCAACACCAUCACUUGACCAUGAGAUAGAGGUGUGAUGACCAAAAACCCUCGCACAUGUCCAACGGAUACACGCUCAUUAAUUUAACAAAUACAUUAAAAUGAAGCG